rnacentral:rRNA from 1 species
UAUCUCUGUAGAGUCUGCAUAUCAAUAAGCGGAGGAAAAGAAACUAACAAGGAUUCCCUUAGUAACGGCGAGUGAAGCGGGAAGAGCUCAAAUUUGAAAUCUUCAAGGUUCUACCUUGACGAAUUGUAGUUUAAAGAAGUGUUUUCUGUUAGAUGAGUAGCAAAAGUUCCUUGGAAUGGGACAUCAUAGAGGGUGAGAAUCCCGUAUUUGGUUAUUCAUUCUAGCUUUGUGAUACACUUUCAAAGAGUCGGAUUGUUUGGGAAUGCAGUCCAAAAUGGGUGGUAAAUUUCAUCUAAAGCUAAAUAUUGGCGAGAGACCGAUAGCGAACAAGUACCGUGAGGGAAAGAUGAAAAGAACUUUGAAAAGAGAGUUAAACAGUACGUGAAAUUGUCAAAAGGGAAGCGUUUGACACCAGUGUUGUUUUUCCGAAAAUCAAUUACGAAUGGCUUGAUUUUGUGUUGUAUUGACCUUAUCAGCUUUCUGCACUUUUUUCGAGUCUUUCUUAAUGCACUUUUCGGUUAACAAGUCAACAUCAAUUUCUUUUGUUGUAAAAGAGUAUUCGGAAGGUGGCUUUCUUUUCGGAGAAAGUGUUUAUAGCCCUUAUACUUCUACAAUCGGAGAGAUUGAGGUCUGCAGCGUAGAUCCUUCGGGGUUAGAUACACUUGUGCUAAGUUGUAGCUUUUCAUAGACAACUUGUUGACUAUGUUUAGUCAUGCGGCUUACUCGCUUAUGCUAUUUUACCUACGCUUAGGAUGUUGACUGAUAUGUAGUCGUA